rnacentral:lncRNA from 1 species
UGCCCCAGUCGGUGACAGUAACCAUGGCUUCCAGUUCCUGUCCUGCUCUUCACUCCUUAACAUUUUCUUCCUUCUUCAGCCGUAAGAAUCUUUAUUUGCUUAUUUACCUAUCUGUUUCUUUUGCUCUUUUGUCUUGUCUUUCUUAAUUAUUUCUUUCAUAAAUUUUCUUUUCCCUCUUAGACCAUACUGAUGAACUUUGGAACUACAUUCCAAUUUCUCCUUUCUUCUUCCAGUUUUCGCUUGGUAUGUGCUACAUUUUCGAGUUCUGCUGAUUUUUUUUCACACUCGCUUGCUUUGCUUGUUGCAGCUGUUUGUUGUUUGUUGCACCUCUUUGUUGGUAAUGGGUAUUUGGUGACUCUCUCUUAUGUACUAUUAUUCUUUUGGAAUAUUUUUUCCACUGUGUACAUCUGUUUUUGACAUAUAUAUUUGGUUUUUUCCUGCAUAGGUUUAAACACGAUUUGGGCAUAUUGAAUUAACAUCUGGAACGAAAAUGACAUAAAAACAGACAAGAGCAUUGUUGCAGCCAAGGUGUUUGACAAUAUGCCGUGAAAAACUAUAAUCUGGUCUUACCAGAGAGUUAAAUUCGACAUUUUUUGCAUUAAAGCCUAAAAUGUUUGAAAUUGGGAUUUCAAUAAUUGAGUUGGAGAUUUUGUUAACUGAUGGUUCUAAUGGCUAAUUGGAAAUUUUCUUGAUAUUUAUAUGGCCAAUUAGUACCCCUCAUUUUUUGAAUUUAUUUAUAGAAUAUGUAACUUUGCUGCAGGGCCUCAAUCUAUUAUAUUAUAACUGUAGAUAGCAGAAAAAGGCAAUCACCUUAUGCUAGAGUUUUCCUUGGAAGAUGAGCAAGGCUAAUUGUAAUGUCGCUGUGUCUGCUCAGAUACAAAGAAGACGUUUAUGAGCUCAAAGGAAAAGCUUUAUUUAACAUUCUUCACGAAAUUGUGUGUGUUUGCUCAGGUUCGCUAUUACUGCUUUGCUUAUUGUGUUGCUUUAAGCAAACCCAAGGAAUUGUUGGGUUACUUUGGUGAGUAAUGAGAUUGCUCUUUUUAAGGAAUUUUUAGCUUUUGGGAAUUUAUUAUUGAUGAACUACAAUUAAAGAAAAAUCGGA